UACGUAGGGUGCAAGCGUUAAUCGGAAUUACUGGGCGUAAAGCGUGCGCAGGCGGUCAUGCAAGACAGAUGUGAAAUCCCCGGGCUCAACCUGGGAACUGCAUUUGUGACUGCAUGGCUGGAGUGCGGCAGAGGGGGAUGGAAUUCCGCGUGUAGCAGUGAAAUGCGUAGAUAUGCGGAGGAACACCGAUGGCGAAGGCAAUCCCCCGGGCCUGCACUGACGCUCAUGCACGAAAGCGUGGGGAGCAAACAGG
rnacentral:rRNA from 1 species